GUUUGUCAUGUGACCGAUGACGGAGCUACACCGGGGCUAGUCUCUCAUGUCCAGACCUUCCUCCACAGAGCUGUGGAGGAAGGUCUCUCAUGUCCAGACCUUCCCGUGUUGAGUAAGAUGUUCACACCGGUGAUAUGAUAUAUGUCAACCCUGUACCAUGACUGGACCAACCACCAAACCA